AACGAACGCUGGCGGCAGGCCUAACACAUGCAAGUCGAGCGAGGACUUCGGUUCUAGCGGCGGACGGGUGAGUUACGCGUGGGAAUGUGCCCUUCUCUACGGAAUAGCCCUGGGAAACUGGGAGUAAUACCGUAUACGCCCUAUUGGGGAAAGAUUUAUCGGAGAAGGAUCAGCCCGCGUUGGAUUAGGUAGUUGGUGGGGUAAUGGCCUACCAAGCCGACGAUCCAUAGCUGGUUUGAGAGGAUGAUCAGCCACACUGGGACUGAGACACGGCCCAGACUCCUACGGGAGGCAGCAGUGGGAAUCUUAGACAAUGGGGGCAACCCUGAUCUAGCCAUGCCGCGUGAGUGAUGAAGGCCUUAGGGUUGUAAAGCUCUUUCAGCUGGGAAGAUAAUGACGGUACCAGCAGAAGAAGCCCCGGCUAACUCCGUG
rnacentral:rRNA from 1 species